rnacentral:rRNA from 1 species
UUAAGUUGCAGGGUAUAGACCCGAAACCCGGUGAUCUAGCCAUGGGCAGGUUGAAGGUUGGGUAACACUAACUGGAGGACCGAACCGACUAAUGUUGAAAAAUUAGCGGAUGACUUGUGGCUGGGGGUGAAAGGCCAAUCAAACCGGGAGAUAGCUGGUUCUCCCCGAAAGCUAUUUAGGUAGCGCCUCGUGAAUUCAUCUCCGGGGGUAGAGCACUGUUUCGGCAAGGGGGUCAUCCCGACUUACCAACCCGAUGCAAACUGCGAAUACCGGAGAAUGUUAUCACGGGAGACACACGGCGGGUGCUAACGUCCGUCGUGAAGAGGGAAACAACCCAGACCGCCAGCUAAGGUCCCAAAGUCAUGGUUAAGUGGGAAACGAUGUGGGAAGGCCCAGACAGCCAGGAUGUUGGCUUAGAAGCAGCCAUCAUUUAAAGAAAGCGUAAUAGCUCACUGGUCGAGUCGGCCUGCGCGGAAGAUGUAACGGGGCUAAACCAUGCACCGAAGCUGCGGCAGCGACGCUUAUGCGUUGUUGGGUA